rnacentral:rRNA from 1 species
UACGAGGGGGGCGAGCGUUGUUCGGAAUUAUUGGGCGUAAAGGGUGCGCAGGCGGCUAUAUAAGUUAGAUGUGAAAUCCCUAAGCUUAACUUAGGAAUGGCAUUUGAUACUGUAUAGCUAGAGUUUAUCAGAGGGAGGUAGAAUUCCAAGUGUAGCAGUGAAAUGCGUAGAUAUUUGGAGGAAUACCGGUGGCGAAGGCGGCCUUCUGGGAUAAAACUGACGCUCAGGCACGAAAGCGUGGGUAGCAAACAGG